rnacentral:misc_RNA from 1 species
CAAUUGGCCUCAAUGCGGUCACAGGGUUUAACCUAAAUUCUUCAUCACGGCCGCGACAAGGAUUUGACGAUGCUGGCGCAAGAAGCGUAUUCCGGUCUGGUCAUCGCCGACAGGUUCACCAUCGUUUUCCAANNNNNNNGCCGAUGACCCGGAGCUUGUAGAUGACGACCAAGGCGCCCAACCCUGUUGACAAAUAUGUU